rnacentral:rRNA from 1 species
GACAGAGGGUGCAAACGUUGUUCGGAAUUACUGGGCGUAAAGCGUGUGUAGGCGGCCGCGCAAGUCGGAUGUGAAAGCCCCAGGCUUAACCUGGGAAGUGCACCCGAAACUGCGUGGCUUGAGUAUCGGAGAGGUUGGUGGAAUUCUCGGUGUAGAGGUGAAAUUCGUAGAUAUCGAGAGGAACACCGGUGGCGAAGGCGGCCAACUGGACGAAUACUGACGCUGAGACACGAAAGCGUGGGGAGCAAACAGG